rnacentral:rRNA from 1 species
AGAGUUUGAUUAUGGCUCAGGAUGAACGCUAGCGAUAGGCCUAACACAUGCAAGUCGAGGGGCAGCACAUGAAGUAGCAAUACGGAUGGUGGCGACCGGCGCACGGGUGAGUAACGCGUAUGCAACCUGCCUACAACAGGGGAAUAACCCGUUGAAAGACGGACUAAUACCCCAUAACACAGGGAUCCCGCAUGGGAAUAUUUGUUAAAGAUUUAUCGGUUGUAGAUGGGCAUGCGUUCCAUUAGCUUGUUGGUGAGGUAACGGCUCACCAAGGCAACGAUGGAUAGGGGAACUGAGAGGUUUAUCCCCCACACUGGUACUGAGACACGGACCAGACUCCUACGGGAGGCAGCAGUGAGGAAUAUUGGUCAAUGGACGCAAGUCUGAACCAGCCACGUCGCGUGAAGGAAGACGGCCCUACGGGUUGUAAACUUCUUUUGUAAGGGAAUAAAGUGUAGUACGUGUACUAUUUUGCAUGUACCUUACGAAUAAGGAUCGGCUAACUCCGUGCCAGCAGCCGCGGUAAUACGGAGGAUCCGAGCGUUAUCCGGAUUUAUUGGGUUUAAAGGGUGCGCAGGCGGGAGAUUAAGUCGGCGGUGAAAUUUUGCAGCUCAACUGUAAAAGUGCCUUCGAAACUGGUCUCCUUGAGUGUGGAUGAAGUAGGCGGAAUUUGUGGUGUAGCGGUGAAAUGCAUAGAUAUCACGAGGAACUCCGAUUGCGCAGGCAGCUUACUAAACCAUAACUGACGCUCAGGCACGAAGGCGUGGGGAUCAAACAGGAUUAGAUACCCUGGUAGUC